rnacentral:rRNA from 1 species
UACGUAGGGGUCCGAGCGUUGUCCGGAAUUGAUUGGGCGGUAAAGGGCUCGUAGGCGGUUUGUCACGUCGGGAGUGAAAACUCAGGGCUCAACCCUUGAGCGUAGCUUCCGAUACGGGGCAGACGUAGAGGUAUGCAGGGGAGAACGGAAAUUCCUGGUGUAGCGGUGGAAUGCGCAGAUAUCAGGAGGAACACCGGUGGCGGAAGGCGGGAUCCUGGGCCAGUACUGACGCUGAGGAGCGAAAGCGUGGGGAGCAAACAGG